UACAGAGGGUGCAAGCGUUAAUCGGAGUUACUGGGCGUAAAGGGCGCGUAGGCGGUGAGAUGUGUGUGAUGUGAAAGCCCUGGGCUUAACCUGGGAAGUGCAUCGCAAACUAUCUGACUGGAGUAUAAGAGAGGGUGGCGGAAUUUCCGGUGUAGCGGUGAAAUGCGUAGAGAUCGGAAGGAACGUCGAUGGCGAAGGCAGCCACCUGGCUUAAUACUGACGCUGAGGCGCGAAAGCGUGGGGAGCGAACAGG
rnacentral:rRNA from 1 species